AUACUGCCCCCUAGCCCUAACAGGUUAAUGUCUCACUACUGGUGUCCCCCAGGGCUCUGUACUAGGUCCUCUAAUAUCUCAUUACUGGUGUCCCCCAGGGCUCUGUACUAGGUCCUCUUUAAUGUCUCAUUACUGGUGUCUCUCAGGGCUCUGUACUAGGUCCUCUUUAAUCUAUCCUACAUCAAUCUGAUGCCAAACCAGUCUAUCCUGCUUUAACUGCAGAACAUAAACAUUUUGCCCAAAGCCGUCUGAUAUAUUGAACUUUACUAUUUUGACAUCACUUUUCUAUGUUGUUUAUUCCUUUGUUUUAUUAUAAACCACUUCAUUUGUUUCCUGAGCCUGUUUCUUUUUCCUAUCUAUAUGUUGCCUGUUCUGUCCUGAGUGAGUGAAUGAAUGGCAAGUCUUCAUACCAUACAGCCAACCAACCCAAGGCCUGCAUGUUUCUCUGUGCUCCAUCCAGGUCUAGUAUUGUUCAAUUACGGUAACUUCACUAGGAUUCCAGAUUUCCUGCUGAUUUCGGGAAUCUUACAACUGGGAUUUCGGGAAAACCUGGGAAUUUUGGGAAGGUUACCGGAAAUGUCUGACAGUCUCCUCGUUUGCCGACAGGGUGGAAGUAUUUUAGAGGGUGCAUCCGAAAUGGCCCCCUAUUUCCUAUAUUAGUGCACUACCAGGGCUCUGGUCAAAAUAAGUGCACUAUAUAGGGAAUAGGGUGCCAUUUGGGACUUAGCCAGAGUGUGCAGUACAGUCAAUCAGUGUGUAAGUCAUCAAUGGAUGUAGGAGGCCUAUUCUCUACGACACUGUCAACCCAAAGGCUUUUAUUUUUUUUUCAAAAAGCACAAUGUGUCAAAACAUUUCCUGUUUGUGGUGGUAGAUACCUAUUUAGCACAUUUUUACAAAAACAAAUAAAAAAAUAUUCUUAUUAUUAGUUGUGUUUAUUAUUAUUAUUGUAAUAUAUAUGUGGCACAGCACUGACAAUGACAACAUCAUGGUGUGUAGUGCUACUGAUUUGGAGAUUGUAUGAUACUUAGGUUUAAACCAUUUAUAAAAUGUGUGAUUGAUACUCCUGAGUAUUUUUUAACAAAAACGAAUAUAAGGGUCUGUUUACAUGUUAUAUGAUCCCUUUUUAUGGUUCAGGUUUUAUCUGCUUCAAAACUUUAACAUUCUGUAAAAAGGUUUCAUCUGCUUCAAAACUUUAACAUUCUGUAAAAAGUUUCAUUUGCUUCAAAACUUUAACAUUUUGUAAAAAGGUUUCAUCUGCUUCAAAGCUUUACAUUCUGCAAAUAAUCAAAUUAAAACGUUUUUGUUUAGACUUGCAAAAUUUGAAUAAUUUUUUCAAAAUUCUCACAUUUUCCAGAAGUCCUGGUUGUAAAAUUCACAAAAGUAGGAGGGAAUAAGCAGCAAAUACAGACUUCACAAGGAUUUCAGGAAAAUCUGGGAAUUUUUGGAAAGUUACCGGAAUUUUGCAACCCUGUUUUUUUUUUGUCGUUGUUCUUGGUACUUUACAGUAGUAGCCUAGUGUUUCCUCAUUAGGUAUCAUACAUCUUUCCUAGCCUGCGUACCAGUCUGUUUGUACCAUCCUGCCACUCUUUGGUACCCAAGCUACACAAUUCCUUGAACUGUCCUAGAACUGUCACUGAAACCAGAUAUUGGACUUAACUCAGACUUUAGUUGUGUUUGUGUGAACUCUUCAGGGUCUCUAAUCCAACAGACCUCAGUUAAAGGGUGGUGCCAAAUUUGAACAUGAAACAUGGGCUAUGUCCCAAAUGGCACCCUAUUCCCUACAAUAGUGCACUACUUUAGACCCAGAGCCCUAUGUCGUGCCCUAUGGGCCCUGGUCAAAAUAGUGCACUAUAAAGGGAAUAGGGUGCCAUUUGGGACACAAACAUGGAUUUCAUGUCUCAAACAUGAACUUUGCACGGAUUUAUUUCUGACUGAGGAAUCUUAUGAUGGGAAAUAUUGCCUAUUUUAAUGUCUUUGUUCCAAAAUGGCACCUUAUUCCCUAUGGGCCCUGGUCAAAAUGCACCUUAUUCCCUAUGGGCCCUGGUCAAAAACAGAGGACUAUAAAGGGAAUCGAGUGCCAUUUGGGAUCCAACAAUGUAUAGAUUAUGGGUGCUUUACUUAAUGCACAUAUUGUGUAGAGAUUUGGUUGCUUUACUUAAGGUUGUGUAGACGCGCAGCUGUACAAAUCAAUGGAAUUACUUAUUUUAAAAAUAAAAUGUAUGAAUUAAUUGCAGGCUUUGUAUUAACCCUCUAGCUGGAUCAACAUGAAUUAAAGGAAAUUGCAACCCAA